GACACUUUGGCCGAGUGGUUAAGGCGAUGCCCUGCUAUUAAGUCAGGCAUUGGGGUUUCCCCGCGUGUGUUCGAAUCGCACAGGUGUCG